GUGCUGGCUUCGGCAGCAGCUACACUAAAAUCGGAACGAUACAGAGAUUAGCAUGGCCCCUGGGCAAGGACGACACGCAAAUUUGUGAAGCAUUCCAUAUUUUU
rnacentral:snRNA from 1 species